CCAGACUCCUACGGGAGGCAGCAGUGGGGGAUAUUGCACAAUGGGGGGAACCCUGAUGCAGCGACGCCGCGUGGGUGAAGGAGUGCUUCGGCAUGUAAAGCCCUAUCGGCAGGGAAGAAGCAAGACGGUACCUGACUAAGAAGCCCCGGCUAACUACGUGCCAGCAGCCGCGGUAAUACGUAGGUGGCAAGCGUUGUCCGGAUUUACUGGGUGUAAAGGGCGUGUAGCCGGGCCGGCAAGUCAGAUGUGAAAUCCCAAGGCUCAACCUUGGAACUGCAUUUGAAACUGUUGGUCUUGAGUAUCGGAGAGGCAGGCGGAAUUCCUAGUGUAGCGGUGAAAUGCGUAGAUAUUAGGAGGAACACCGGCGGCGAAGGCGGCCUGCUGGACCGUGACUGACGUUGAGGCUCGAGAGCGUGGGGAGCAAACAGGAUUAGAUACCCGGGUAC
rnacentral:rRNA from 1 species